GAUGAACGCUGGCGGCGUGCCUAAUACAUGCAAGUCGAGCGAACAGACGAGGAGCUUGCUCCUUCGACGUUAGCGGCGGACGGGUGAGUAACACGUAGGUAACCUACCUAUAAGACUGGGAUAACUUCGGGAAACCGGAGCUAAUACCGGAUAAUAUUUCGAACCGCAUGGUUCGAUAGUGAAAGAUGGCUUUGCUAUCACUUAUAGAUGGACCUGCGCCGUAUUAGCUAGUUGGUAAGGUAACGGCUUACCAAGGCAACGAUACGUAGCCGACCUGAGAGGGUGAUAGGCCACACUGGAACUGAGACACGGUCCAGACUCCUACGGGAGGCAGCAGUAGGGAAUCUGCCGCAAUGGGCGAAAGCCUGACGGAGCAACGGCGCGUGAGUGAUGAAGGUCUUCGGAUCGUAAAACUCUGUUAUUAGGGAAGAACAAACGUGUAAGUAACUGUGCACGUCUUGACGGUACCUAAUCAGAAAGCCACGGCUAACUACGUG
rnacentral:rRNA from 1 species